rnacentral:rRNA from 1 species
UACGUAGGUGGCGAGCGUUGUCCGGAAUUACUGGGUGUAAAGCGCGCGUAGGCGGGAGGCCAAGUCCGCUGUGAAAUCGCCCGGCUCAACUGGGCGCGGUCGGUGGAAACUGGUCACCUGGAGGACGGUAGAGGCGAGUGGAAUUCCCGGUGUAGUGGUGAAAUGCGUAGAGAUCGGGAGGAACACCAGUGGCGAAGGCGGCUCGCUGGGCCGGCCCUGACGCUGAGGCGCGAAGGCGUGGGGAGCGAACAGG